GGCGACCUGUCGGGUGAAGGAAGCCGGCGGCAAAGUUCUGGUCUGACGAAUAGACCACAUACAGGCCUAUCCGGAGGAUAAGCGUGCAAAAGAACGCAAAGUCCAAUACCUACUCGGAAACCGGAGUGGUAAAUAUGGCAGAUAUAUGGAAGGAAAGAUGUU
rnacentral:ncRNA from 1 species